CCCGGGAGAGAGCAGGCUGUUUUUUUAGUCUGCCGCCGAAGGCGCAACCGCCCCGGAAACGCUCAGGCAAAAGGACCGGGAAGG
rnacentral:ncRNA from 1 species